UACGGAGGGGGCUAGCGUUGUUCGGAAUUACUGGGCGUAAAGCGCACGUAGGCGGACUGUUAAGUCGGGGGUGAAAUCCUGGGGCUCAACCUCAGAAUUGCCUCCGAUACUGGCAGUCUCGAGUGCGGGAGAGGUGAGUGGAAUUCCCAGUGUAGAGGUGAAAUGCGCAGAUAUCAGGAAGAACACCUAUGGCGAAGGCAGCUCUCUGGGACGGUACUGACGCUGAGACGCGAAAGCGUGGGGAGCGAACAGG
rnacentral:rRNA from 1 species